AUGCUUUCGCGGUCGUGCGGUCUCACUUCUCAGACGAGCUUUCGGCUAGUAAACCACAAGGCCAGAUUCUGGCGAAUAACUAGCCAAAAUUCGAACCGAAAUUUUAUUAUGUAUUUUGUUUUAGACGGAGAAAAAAAUAGUAUCCCAACGAGAGAAAAAAAAAGAGAAUCAGAUUUUGUAUCGGCUCAGAGAUUUUAAAAAAGAAGAUUAAAGUACAUCCGCGCCGGAGCCGGACGCACGAAGAUGCCUCCCUACCGAAUGUAAAAAAAA
rnacentral:lncRNA from 7 species